CAUCUUCCUCGGGAUCCUCGAUCCAAUCUAUCCACUCCACCCGGCCGACCUAACCCACCUUCUCGAUUUGCAUCCCCGACCAACCACUGCAGUCCCCACGCGCCUGUGGAUCUCCUCUACCUCGCCUAUGCUCGCCGGGGAGCAGAUCACCGCGACACCUGAUCUUCUGCGCCUCCCCUCGUCCAGGAGCAUCUGCUCCUCUGCCCGAGCACCCCUACCUCGGCCUUGUGACCCCGCGACUCCCUCCUGCAGCCAGAGCAAGCCGUUAGGAGGCGGGAUCCCAUGCUGCAAGGAGCUCCUCGCCGCCCGGAUUUUCCCCAGGGACCGAAGACAUGGCCGCCCGACCUGAAGCUGCCUCCAGCGCUUGCGUUGACCCAGCCACGUGCCGCCCGUAGCUCCUCGACGCCGGCCGGAUCCGUCGUCCGGGAGAUCCGCCUUCCCGCCGCCCUCUCGUCCGCCUCCAGCCGUCCCUGUCGCCAAGCGUCGCCGGCGAUCUUUCCUGCUUCGCGCUGAGAGCCGCGCCCCUGUUUUGCCCGAAGGGAACAAGUAGGACGACGAGCGCGUUGACCAGUCGUUCGCUGCUUCCUGAUCAAGCGUCUGGGCCAACCUCGCUUUGUGCCUCAUCGCGCCCUGCCCGCGGCCCAGCAAGUUGAUCCGGCCCAACCGCUCCCCUCCACCGUGGCCUGCCAGCUGCAGCCCACAGGCAGAGGCCUAGAUCUGCCGCGCCCCUGUAGGCCCAAUGUGAGCAGCGCUCCAGAUUCGGCCCAUCUCUAUAUUUUUUCUGCCUGAUCGUUUUUUCCUUUUAUCUUGUGAAUGCCAAAUUUGCAGAAAAACCAUUGCAUUUCA